AUACCAAAAAGUAAUUUUUUAAGACCUAAGUAUUUAAAGUUAUGUACUUGAAAUUUGAAUAAUUUGGCGGUGAUUUAGUCUUGUCAGAGGAACCUGUUUUUAAAUCGAUACACCACGAAAAAUCUUACUUAGGCUUGUAGAGUAGUAUGUAUACCAUCAUUAUUAGGUAAUUUUUAUAGAAUAAAUUACUAAAAAUAAUUAUUAAUAGUGUUAAAUAUAUUAGAUCAAGGUGCAGCUAAUGCUUAAGUUAAAAUGGGUUACAAUAAAAAUUUAUUUAAUACGGAAUAUUAAUUUAAAUAAUUAAUUAGAAGGAGGAUUUGAUUGUAAAUUAAAUUUAAUAUGUUUAGUUAGAUAUAAGCUCUAAAUCAUGUACAUAUCGCCCGUCGCUUUCAUUACCAAAAUGAGAU
rnacentral:rRNA from 1 species